CGGGCGCGGUCCGCGGACGGAUAGUGUGUCUGUUUUAGGGGAUAGCCUUGGAGAUGCCCUAAUAGAGUAGAGUAAGGCGGUUUAGACAGUGGCAUAACAGGAGCGGCUAGAGUCUCCCUACUAGUAGCACAAAGGAAACCGUAGCAUAUUCCAAAGAUCUCAUAUUUGGUAGCACCAAUAAGGAUGCAUAAUGGUCUGACAGGUAGUUAAAAUAUGCACCAGAUAGCUAUUGCGGGGCAGCAUCUUUUUGCGGCUAGAGUCUCCCUACUAGUAGCACAAAGGAAACCGUAGCAUAUUCCAAAGAUCUCAUAUUUGGUAGCACCAAUAAGGAUGCAUAAUGGUCUGACAGGUAGUUAAAAUAUGCACCAGAUAGCUAUUGCGGGGCAGCAUCUUUUUGAUGCUUGCUCAUCUAGAUUCAGGUAGCUUACUACAAGUCUAGAGCAUGCAUCAGCUAAGAACUAGUUAUACAGAUAUGGAAACAGAAGCAUCCAAACACGGGAAAGGGGGA
rnacentral:lncRNA from 1 species